GACGAACGCUGGCGGCGUGCUUAACACAUGCAAGUCGAGCGAUGAAGCACCUUCGGGUGUGAAUUAGCGGCGAACGGGUGAGGAACACGUGAGAAAUCUGCCUUCAACACUGGGAUAACUCCGGGAAACCGGGGCGAAUACCGGAUAUGAAACCUACGGGCAUCCGCGGGGUUGGAAAGUGUUUGGGUUGAAGAUGAUCUCGCGGCCUAUCGGCUUGUUGGUGAGGUAAUGGGUCACCAAGGCGACGACGGGUAGCCGGCCUGAGAGGGCGACCGGCCACACUGGGACUGAGACACGGCCCAGACUCCUACGGGAGGCAGCAGUGGGGAAUAUUGGGCAAUGGAGGAAACUCUGACCCAGCGACGCCGCGUGCGGGAUGAAGGCCUUCGGGUUGUAAACCGCUUUCAGCAGGGAAGAAGCGAAAGUGACGGUACCUGCAGAAGAAGCACCGGCUAACUAUGUGCCAGCAGCCGCCGUAA
rnacentral:rRNA from 1 species